rnacentral:lncRNA from 1 species
GGAUGGGACUGGGAGGGACUGGGUUAUACUGGGAGGGACUGGGAGGGACUGGGAUGAGAUUGGGAUCGACUGGGAUGGACUGGGAGGGACUGGGAGAGACUGGGAUGGAAGUGGGUUAUACUGGGAUGGGACUGGGCUAUACUGGGAUGGACUGGGAGGGACUGGGAUGGGACUGAGAUGGGACUGGGUUAUACUGGGAAGGACUGGGAUGGACUGGGAUGGGACUGGGAGGGACUGGGUUAUACUGGGAGGGACUGGGAGGGACUGGGAUGGACUGGGAUGGACUGGGAUGGGAGUGGGUUAUACUGGGAUGGGACUGGGAUGGACUGGGUUAUACUGGAAUGGGACUGGGAUGGGAGUGGGAUGGGACUGGGAGAGAGUGGGUUAUACUGGGAUGGACUGGGAUGGACUGGGAUGGAGUGGGUUAUACUGGGAUGGGACUGGGAUGGGAGUGGGAGGGACUGGGUUAUACUGGAAGGGACUAGGAGGGACUGGGAGGAACUGGGAGAGAGUGGGUUAUACUGGGAGGGACUGGAAGGGACUGGGAUGGGACUGGGAUGAACUGGGAGGGAUUGGGAGGGACUGAGAUGGGACUGGGUUAUACUGGGAUGGACUGGGAUGGACUGGAAGGGUCUGGGAUGGGACUGGGAUGGGACUGGUUUAUACUGGGAUGGACUGGAAGGGACUGGGAUGGGACUGGGAUGGGACUGGUUUAUACUGGGAUGGACUGGAAGGGACUGGGCUGGGACUGGGUUAUACUGGGAUGGACUGGGAUGGGACUGGGAGGGACUGGGAGGGACUGGUUUAUACUGGGAGGGACUGGGAGGGGCUAUACUGGUCCAUGCUGAUUGAUACUGGUCCAUACUGGUUGAUACUGGUCGAUACUGGUCUAUACUGGUCGAAACAGUGUUCUAUACUGGUCCAUGCUGGUCUAUAUUGGUUGAUACUGGUCUAUACUGGUCUAUACUGGUCAAUACUGGUCUAUACUGGUCCAUAGUGGUCUAUACUGGUCCAUACUGGUCCAUACUGGUCGAUACUGGUCUAUACUGGUUGAUACCGGUCUAUACUGGUCCAUACUGGUCGAAACAGCGGUCAAUACUGGUCCAUGCAGGUCUAUACUGGUUGAUACU